UACGUAGGGUGCAAGCGUUAUCCGGAAUUAUUGGGCGUAAAGAGCUCGUAGGCGGUUUGUCGCGUCUGCUGUGAAACCCCGAGGCUCAACCUCGGGUCUGCAGUGGGUACGGGUAGACUAGAGUGCGGUAGGGGAGAUUGGAAUUCCUGGUGUAGCGGUGGAAUGCGCAGAUAUCAGGAGGAACACCAAUGGCGAAGGCAGAUCUCUGGGCCGUAACUGACGCUGAGGAGCGAAAGCAUGGGGAGCGAACAGG
rnacentral:rRNA from 1 species